rnacentral:tRNA from 1 species
ACCUGGCUGGCUCAGCUGGUAGACCAUGUGACUCUUGAUCUCAAGGUUGUGAGUUCCAGCCCCACGCUGGGCA